GCGAGCGUGGCGAAACUGGUAGACGCAGCAGACUUAAAAUCUGCCGACCUCGGUCUUGCGGGUUCGACCCCCGCCGCUCGCACCA
rnacentral:tRNA from 1 species